UUCAACUCCAACAGAAGAAAGAGAAAUAUCUCUUCUUCCCCAUCUUCUUCAUCUCCCUCCCUGCUUACAAAAGAAAAAAAAUCUCACUCCGUCACCAUCUCUCCCACUCUUCUUUAAUUUCUUUCUAACUCUUACAGAAGAAAAGAUAAGAUCUUCUUCAUCUUCUCCUUCUUCUUCUAUAUUUUUUAUCACAAAUAUAAGAGCAGUGUAACUUUUAAGGGAUUCAAAAACAGAGGAUGAAGUACCAACUGAUUUACCAGCAGUAAAGGCUGGUGAACUAUCUGCAGUGGAGUUGGAGAAUCUGAUGACAAUUGUUGCCAAGUACAAUUCAAAAUUCCAGACUGGUUACUGAACAGAAAGAAGGAUUACAAGGACAGAAGAUACUCUCAGAAGACCAAAUGGAAUCACAUUCUGUGCAGAGAUUUGCUUUCUGCUAAGAGGAUUUAGCACUGGUUUCUUAUGCAAGAGAAGAAACUCAUGAUGCAUUGGAUGUAUAAAGCAGAAAUUUACAGGUCAUAGUAGCUCAUUGGAGGUAGUGGUAAUUGUUUUAUCAUUUGGUUCUUCUUUCUUUCUUGCUUCAGAUUUCAAAAUAAGCAAAUAUCCAUGAGUUAAUAUAUGUUCUUCCAUCUGAACUUCUUAACAAUGUAAAUAAAGUUUAAUAUAGGCUCUUACUAAUUCAUUUUCAUUAUUUCAGAGACAUUGUAAUGCACUCAGCUACCAAAUUUAUAUCUAGGCACGCGGAUGUCAUGGCAGGAGUCCUUGCAGUUAAGGGAGAAAGGUCAUACAUAUUUCUGGAUAGUUUUUAUCCCCAUCGUUCUAAGCUUUCUAACCCUCACAUGCACAUUUUACGUUAACAACCCAGUAUGCAUAUAACUCUAUUUACGAUGAAGCAUAUUGGGAUGAAGAUGCUCAGGCAAAAAUUGGUAUUCAGUACUUGUUUUGGUUGAGAUAGGUGGAGAGUAUUAAGGCAAUAUUGAGCUUGUAGGCUUCUGGUGAAGACUACUCUGUUGAACCCUGCGAUAUGUGAAGGUCCUUCUGUGCUCUUAUUGAUUUUGGAAAUAUACAAAGAACUACAUAGGUUGUUUAGCUUUGAAACCUGUUCUGGUGGUGAAAUUCUUUGAUGGAGGAGAUGUUGAAGAUCAGAAUUCUGGUGAUUAUCCAAUGGUUUGUAUUUAGAUCCCUAUGUACUUCUAUUUUCCUAUAGUGUGUGGUUUAGUUGUCUCUUUAUGGUUUUGCUGGUUAGUUGCAUUUCUCUCUUUAUAUCAAUUGUAUUCAGUUAUGGGUUGUGCAAUGAAUACAAUGAAUGUUUAAUGGAAUGGAAUUUGGUCCAGCAUUAUUAUUAUUUGAGUUUGAUUUUCUUCU